GGGGCUGCCCGGUUUCGACAGCAGGUUUGUGGUUGAGUAAGCAUGCCGAGCCUUGCAGAUACGCUCGUAAAUAUCAUCUGCGAACCAAUAACUGGCGAAAAUAACUUCGCUCUUGCUGCCUAAUCUGCGUAUCGCGGAGGUGGCUUAAUCCCGACUCAAGGAGUCGGGACAGGACGUUCUGCCGGCGGAUCUGCCUGAUUCCAACCGGACAACAGGGCGCUCGCAAUUUCGGGCUGGUCAUGGCGAAGCUCCGGCGCUGUGGCGAGAUAAAGGAGAUAAGGGUGGGCCUUGGGUGCCGUUUUCCGAACCCGCCCCGACAAUCAACAAGCGGAUAAGCAUGUAGAAAGCGCCUCUGCUAUCUGUUUGGACGAGGGUUCGACUCCCUCCAGCUCCACUG
rnacentral:tmRNA from 1 species